rnacentral:misc_RNA from 1 species
AUCAGUGGAUCCGGCGGGGACCUCCCCGCCGGGUAGACCUCCACCCGUGCUUACCUACUCUUGUUGCUUUGGCGGGCCGUGGCCUCCACUACGGGCUCUGUUCGUACGUGCCCGCCAGAGGACCAAAUUCUGAAUCUUAGUGAUGUCUGAGUACUAUUUAAUAGUUA